AUUGAACGCUGGCGGCAUGCUUUACACAUGCAAGUCGGACGAGUGGCGAACGGGUGAGUAACAUAUCGGAACGUACCGAGUAAUGGGGGAAAACUAAUCGAAAGAUUAGCUAAUACCGCAUAUAAUUCGCGCAGCCGAUAUCGGAUUAGCUGGUUGGUGGGGGAAAGGCCUACCCAGGAGACUAUCAGUAGCGGGGCUGAGAGGAUGAUCCGCCACACUGUGCCUUAUACACGGCCCAGACGCCUACGGGAGGCAGCAGUGGGGAAUUUUUGACAAUGGGCGCAAGCCUGAUCCAGCCAUGCCGCGUGUCUGAAGAAGGCCUUCGUGUUGUAAAGGACUUUUGUCAGGGAAGCGGUACCUGAAGAAUAAGCACCGGCUAACUACGUGCCAGCAGCCGCGGUAAUAC
rnacentral:rRNA from 1 species